GACGAACCGUGCGAACGUUAUUCGGAAUCACUGGGCUUAAAGCGCGUGUAGGCGGGCCGGCACGUCCGUGGCUGAAAGCCCCCGGCUCAACCGGGGAAGGGGCGCGGAUACGACCGGCCUGGAGGGGGGUAGGGGGACCUGGAACUUCCGGUGGAGCGGUGAAAUGCGUUGAGAUCGGAAGGAACGCCCGUGGCGAAAGCGAGGUCCUGGACCCUUUCUGACGCUGAGGCGCGAAAGCUAGGGGAGCAAACGGG
rnacentral:rRNA from 1 species